rnacentral:rRNA from 1 species
AGAGUUUGAUCCUGGCUCAGAUUGAACGCUGGCGGCAUGCCUAACACAUGCAAGUCGAACGGAAACGAUGGGAGCUUGCUCCCAGGCGUCGAGUGGCGGACGGGUGAGUAAUACUUAGGAAUCUACCCAGUAGCGGGGGACAACUCGAGGAAACUCGAGCUAAUACCGCAUACGCCCUACGGGGGAAAGCAGGGGAUCUUCGGACCUUGCACUAUUGGAUGAGCCUAAGUCGGAUUAGCUUGUUGGUGAGGUAAAGGCUCACCAAGGCGACGAUCCGUAGCUGGUCUGAGAGGACGAUCAGCCACACUGGGACUGAGACACGGCCCAGACUCCUACGGGAGGCAGCAGUGGGGAAUAUUGGACAAUGGGGGCAACCCUGAUCCAGCAAUGCCGCGUGUGUGAAGAAGGCCUGCGGGUUGUAAAGCACUUUCAGUAGAGAAGAAAAGCCCACGGCUAAUACCCGUGAGUCUUGACGUUACCUACAGAAGAAGCUCCGGCUAACUCCGUGCCCGCAGCCGCGGUAAUACGGAGGGAGCGAGCGUUAUUCGGAAUUACUGGGGCGAAAGCGCGCGUAGGCGGGCUUUGUAGUCCGAUGGGGAAGCCCCUGGCUCCAACCUGGGGAAGGGCAUUCGAUACUGCAGAGCUAGAGUAUGGGUAAAGGGGAGUGGAAUUUUCCGGUGGUAGCGUGGAAAAUGCUUA